UCAGUUCGGACUGGAGUCUGCAACCCGACUCCACGAAGCUGGAUUCGCUAGUAAUCGCGCAUCAGCCACGGCGCGGUGAAUACGUUCCCGGGCCUUGUACACACCGCCCGUCAAGCCAUGGGAGCCGGGGGUACCUGAAGUGCGUAACCGCGAGGAUCGCCCUAGGGUAAAACUGGUGACUGGGGCUAAGUCGUAACAAGGUAUC
rnacentral:rRNA from 1 species